rnacentral:rRNA from 1 species
UUUCUACUACUUGACGCAAAGUCGAGUAUUUUUACAAACAAUGUGUAAUGAACGUCGUUUUAUUAUAACAAAAUAAAACUUUCAACAACGGAUCUCUUGGCUCUCGCAUCGAUGAAGAACGCAGCGAAUUGCGAUAAGUAAUGUGAAUUGCAGAAUUCAGUGAAUCAUCGAAUCUUUGAACGCAGCUUGCGCUCUCUGGUAUUCCGGAGAGCAUGCCUGUUUCAGUGUCAUGAAAUCUCAACCACUAGGGUUUCCUAAUGGAUUGGAUUUGGGCGUCUGCGAUUUCUGAUCGCUCGCCUUAAAAGAGUUAGCAAGUUUGACAUUAAUGUCUGGUGUAAUAAGUUUCACUGGGUCCAUUGUGUUGAAGCGUGCUUCUAAUCGUCCGCAAGGACCAUUA